GACGAACGCUGGCGGCGUGCCUAAUACAUGCAAGUAGAACGCACAGUUUAUACCGUAGCUUGCUACACCAUAGACUGUGAGUUGCGAACGGGUGAGUAAUGCGUAGGUAACCUGCCUGGUAGCGGGGGAUAACUAUUGGAAACGAUAGCUAAUACCGCAUAAUAUUAAUUAUUGCAUGAUAAUUAAUUGAAAGGUGCAAUUGCACCACUACCAGAUGGACCUGCGUUGUAUUAGCUAGUAGGUGAGGUAACGGCUCACCUAGGCGACGAUACAUAGCCGACCGGAGAGGGUGAUCGGCCACACGGGGACGGGGACGCGCCCCAGACUCCUACGGGAGGCAGCAGUAGGGAAUCUUCGGCAAUGAACGAAAGUCUGACCGCGCAACGCGGCGUGAGUGAAGAAGGUUUUCGGAUCGUAAAGCUCUGUUGUAAGAGAAGAACGGGUGUGAGAGUGGAAAGUUCACACUGUGACGGUAUCUUACCAGAAAGGGACGGCUAACUACGUG
rnacentral:rRNA from 1 species